CAGGCUUCGCCUUGUACGCGGCUCGGCACAUUACGGUCGAACCAACACUUCUCGAUCGGGAGCCUCACAUUUCGGGGCGGACAGGUAUCCCCGGCCUCGGCCGGGGAAGCUGGAUGUCACGGUGCGGGCACCCACCUGCUGAGGCAGGUUCACCCGGUCGGGCCGCGGCAAGGCGGGGCGUAA
rnacentral:other from 1 species